GUGGGGAAUAUUGGACAAUGGGCGCAAGCCUGAUCCAGCCAUGCCGCGUGAGUGAUGAAGGCCUUAGGGUUGUAAAGCUCUUUCACCGGUGAAGAUAAUGACGGUAACCGGAGAAGAAGCCCCGGCUAACUUCGUGCCAGCAGCCGCGGUAAUACGAAGGGGGCUAGCGUUGUUCGGAAUUACUGGGCGUAAAGCGCACGUAGGCUGAUAUUUAAGUCAGGGGUGAAAUCCCGGGGCUCAACCCCGGAACUGCCUUUGAUACUGGGUGUCUUGAGUAUGAGAGAGGUGUGUGGAACUCCGAGUGUAGAGGUGAAAUUCGUAGAUAUUCGGAAGAACACCAGUGGCGAAGGCGACUCGCUGGACAGGUAUUGACGCUGAGGUGCGAAAGCGUGGGGAGCAAACAGGAUUAGAAACCCUUGUAGUCC
rnacentral:rRNA from 1 species